AAAAUGUGCAAUGAUAAAUCCAGGGCUGGUAUGUAUCCUCCCCCACUAUUAAAAAGUCAACUAAAAUUGAAUGCCACCAUCAUGGAAGAGCAGGGGAUGUGCACUGAGAUGCAGGGCACACUCCACGUGCGUGUUUCUGAGGGAAAGACAGAAGAAAGUUCUUCCUUCUUUGGUCUUCCUGCUAAGCCCUUCUUUGCAUUCUGCAGAGCUUGUGUAGUAUGAGAUCUUUGGCAUGGUUGGGCAUUUCUGCUUUGCAUUUUAUUUUGCACAGUAUUAGAGCCUGGCUGGUGGUGGAGGCAAGGAUUCACUACAUUAAUUUGCUUCGGACCUUUUGUGUGACUUUGAGCAGAGCAAAGUGUAGUGCUGCAGUACUGUCAACACCAAACCUUCAUGCAUUAUAAAUCAGUCAUGUGAAAACAAAUAGACUGCCCAAACUAUAAUGAGAUUUCUGAAAAUGACACCCUGAGGAGGAUUUUUACUGGACUCCAGUUGUUUUUCUUUGCUUUUUUUUUCCUCCAUAAGGAAUAUAAGCAUCUUUUUUCUCUUCCACGUUUUCUUAAGUUUGUGCUGAGAUUCUCAGUCAUAUGGACUUAGAAGCUCUUGCUGUAAAACUGAAUUGUAGAAGCAGGCAAAAGUCUCACAGACUUGCCUCAUUUUUAAAAUGAAAGGUAUGCUGCUGUUUUGAAAUAUAAAGUAUGUUAGUGAAAUGGUGGGAAAACAAGUCCAUCAGCCAUCAGUUUUAGGACUAACCACCAUAUUAUGGAACGAAUUUCUUACUGAAUUCCUCAUUUUAUAUUGUCUGUGCAGCCUGCAAUAAACAUUUUGAUGACUCUGCUUUUAGAAAUGUUAACCUAACUGUAGCAAUGCUACAGAAACAGACCAGAUUUGUUUUGCAUUUUUUAUUGAAGAAGGCUUUUUUUUUUAUCUUCUAAGCCAGGUUUCUUGCUGCUUUUCCAAAAAAUCACCAUUUAAGAUAGACUGGAGGCUAUUUUGUAGCUGAAGACUCUGAACAGUAGUAUUUUCACUGUUCCAUCACCCUUAUAAGUUUCUGAGGGAAAAACAGAGAUAAGUAUGUGGACUGACUGAGCUGAAAUCUCUCGUCAAAGAUGCAAUCCUGUUUGACAAGAGAUUAAGCCUGGUUUCUUCACUGUCUGCUGUUCUGUAAAUCUGUGACCAGGGUCAGUCACCCAGACUUUUUGACUCCUUCAGCUGACCUACCAGAAACGGGAUUCUUCUGAUGUUCCCACAAGAGUCUGCAAUAGCUGACAGUGAUAGGAAGUCACAGUGGUAUUAAAAACAUGUUCUGCAUUCAUUCUGCAGAAUGCCUGGAACCUCAUAGGUCUACCUCUUAGAGUGUUGUAAGCCUUCCUUCUCACUGCAAACACUAUUUGAUGAACAGUCUUCAUCACAGCAUCUGUCUCUGUGAUUCUUUGCACGGGUGUCUCUCAACCCCCUGUAAAGGCAAACCCAGAUUAGGUGUCCUUGUGCACUCUCUGAACUUCUAGGCCUGCUUUGUUCCAGUUUUGAAUCAUAGGAAAACCACUCUGGUGUAGUGUGGAUGAAAGCUAUUUCUUUUUCCUCACAGUUCAUUUAAAUUAAAUUAAACUUUGUAACUUUUUUUUCUGAGACGACUUCUAUAUUUUAUUCAUUGCAUUUAAUUCUGUGCAUUCAAGUGGGAAGUUAAACAAUGUCAAAGUGAAGACAAUGAAUCACAUAACGUGCAGAAAAUGUAACUUGGGAAAAUGUAUUAUUGCAGUAACUUCUUACCUAUAUCCUUCCAGUGAAUUAAUGGAACAUCAGAGAAAACUAACCAGGUUGGAAUUUAUUUUUAAAUGUGCAUUCUCAUAAAACGGAUCCUUUAUUUUCCAAAUUUAAUUAGAGUGAAAAAAGAAGCAAGUAUUGGGGUAAUAUUGUACAGCAUCUCUGUGGAGUGGUUGAUUCUCAUAUGUGUUAACAGUUUUCUAUUGCUAUUAUCUUGCUGAAAUUGCUUCCUUAGCUAAACUGUUCAGGGUAGGUAUUAAAGAUGAAUAUAUCAAAACCAGCUCAUGAAUUCUGUUCUUCUAGAAGAGAUCACUGUGUCCGAAUGUAGUGUUCAUUGAUUUGUUUUGGGAAGAAAUAAACUACCUGUUGAAAUUCCUAGCUGUUUUAGUGCACCUGCCUGCUCCUCUAGGUGAUGUCUAACUGCUGCAGUGGAUCCAACUUUCCUUUUGAUCCAGUGCCCAAUGAGUGCAUUAAAGGCUCUUUCUUCGUAACUGCAAAGGGGA
ensembl:lncRNA